CGGUUCUUUUCUUGGUUGAAUGUCCGCAUUUGUAAUUGUCAUUAUGUCUAGUAACUAUAAUGACCCGCGCAACUGUCAUUACGCGUGAUGUUUACGCCAAACGCGGUCCACGCGGUGUUUACUGACGUGUACUCACCAACACUGCUGGAUGCAAGAAUUAUUGUUGAAAAAUGAGUGUGUAACGCGUGACCCCUCAUUUCCCACCUCGCUGACACCCUCUUUUCUGCAUCUGAGCCUCAUCUUGCAGGAGAGGCAAUCCAAGCUUUUGCUAACUGCAGAUAUCGAAGAGGAAUCUUAAACGGGAGAAAUUCUAGUUAAAAAGAGCAAGAUGGAGAACUAUUGAUCCCUUAUCCCAAAGGUGUCCACCGUAUGCAGAUGUCCCAAAGGUGCACCAGAGAAGGCUCCAGCAUUUUGAAUGCAUCGCAACCUUUCAUACCUUUUCAACUGCAGGCGCAACACUUCAGCUAUUGAAGGUAAGUUUCCACACAAAUGGGGUCCUUCAGUUGGCCCUGACUGAACCUGGCAAUGGAGGGGCACCUUUAGAAUCUGCCGGCCCGGGCAUUGAAAGGAGAGAUGCGGUGCUCAAGUCAUGCAUCUUACACAGUAACUACAGUCACA
ensembl:lncRNA